rnacentral:rRNA from 1 species
UGGGGAAUAUUGGACAAUGGACCGAGAGUCUGAUCCAGCAAUUCUGUGUGCACGAUGAAGCUUUUCGGAAUGUAAAGUGCUUUCAGUUGGGAAGAAAGAAAUGACGGUACCAACAGAAGAAGUGACGGCUAAAUACGUGCCAGCAGCCGCGGUAAUACGUAUGUCACGAGCGUUAUCCGGAUUUAUUGGGCGUAAAGCGCGUCUAGGUGGUUAUAUAAGUCUGAUGUGAAAAUGCAGGGCUCAACUCUGUAUUGCGUUGGAAACUGUAUAACUAGAGUACUGGAGAGGUAAGCGGAACUACAAGUGUAGAGGUGAAAUUCGUAGAUAUUUGUAGGAAUGCCGAUGGGGAAGCCAGCUUACUGGACAGAUACUGACGCUGAAGCGCGAAAGCGUGGGUAGCAAACAGGAUUAGAUACCCUGGUAGUCCACGCUGUAAACGAUGAUUACUAGGUGUUGGGGGUCGAACCUCAGCGCCCAAGCAAACGCGAUAAGUAAUCCGCCUGGGGAGUACGUACGCAAGUAUG